rnacentral:lncRNA from 1 species
AAGAGAAGUUGACCUCCCUGGGAUGUCGUCACUUCAUUAUUGGCUGCACCUGAGUAAUCAUGUGAUGCGAUACAUUUUUCAAAGACGUUUUUCAAGACACAGGAGAGGUCGGGUUGAAACAUUACUGAUGUUUCACGUUAAAAAUGGCUCUAAAGAUUGAUGCUAAACAACGUUUGACAUGUUUGAACAAACGUAAAUAGAUUCUUUUUUUUUACUUUUCGCCGUGACUUCCCCCCCCGCGCUACUUUUUAGUAGCCUACCGAAGCGCUAACAACUUGGAGUUAUUUGGACAUCAAUUAUGAACUUUGUUGAAAGAAACCACAUUUGUAGUGAACCUGGGAUUCCUGGAAGUGCCAAUGAAUGAAGAUAAUCAAAGGUCUUCAUCAGGCAUCCAUAUCCCAGGAGGGGGUGGAAGGUGCUAUAUAUGGGGGCAGUACUCAGUGACAUCACUUCCUGAAACAUUAGAUUCAACUAGUCUGUUACGGCAGAGGCAGAGAUGACGUUGGAGGGAUAUGGGUCAAACUUAGCUGAAAUGGUUUCGUGCCCCACGUCCGGUGUCAAGUUUUCAUACAUACAGCUGAGGACUUUGUAUCUUAGGCUUUGGAGUUUAACAGCUCUCCCUCGCUCUGUGUUGACAGGAAGUUUAACUCAGGCUGAGCUGAUGGAUGGUCUCUAUUUAGGCUGUGAGGAGGUCAAGCCCACAGAGGAAGCAAUCAACCAGGACUCAGAACAGGAGGAACCUCCACAGCUGCACUGGAAGUAAUAAACUGACCAGGGUGGGCCCCUGUUGGGAGAAUCCGUUUUUGCAGGGUCAAAGGGUUUGGUCAGAUUGGUCGUCCAAUGACCCCAUGGUGAACUUUAUGAGUAGGAACCUUGAAGCCGAGGAGCUGGGUAGUUGAAUUUUGGAGGAGGCUGAGCUGACUGGCAGUUAGCUUGAAACCCUCAUCAGGGAAUGAAUAGUCUGAAACCUGCCUAUGGUAGAUAUCUAGCUGUACUGCUCGAGAAACGUAUAAGCAGAUAUUUUUGUGUUUUUUUAAGCCUGGCUCUAAGACUCUCUGAGCUAAAUAAAUAGGAGAAUGAUUUGAAUCUGGCUUCCCUCUCAAUUCCACUUCAAACUUUAGUCUUAGUCACCAUGAGCCCCUAUACCCAUGAGAGUUGUAUAUGUAUGAAUUAUUUACAGCUUCAUGGCGGAGCGCUGCUGCUCCGUGCACAGAGUGAAAGUCAAUUUCAUUUUCUUCUUUUCAUUUCCUCGCAUCCCUCCAGCAUUUUCUAAAGUGGAAGAAGACAGAUUCUCAAUUUCAUUUGGAUUCUCUAACUUCCGUACCUUCAGAAAAGAGCAGAGAACUGUGCCAGAACUGAGUCAUGAAGAUGACAGAUUUAUAUUUCCAUUUCCCCCACCAUGUCUAUCGACAUCUGAAGUUUAAGUUAUUUUGCAGCUUUUUAGUUGGGUUAAGUCAUGAACUUAAAGAUGGAAUCCACAUAAGGGGGGAAACACCGAAACUGGCCGCCUCACCACCGUUGCUUUUGUUUUUGUUGCCGAGCUGAGGAGCGUCAUGCAACAUGGCAAAGAAACAUUACAGUACAUAUUGUGCUCUUCAAUCAUGCAUGCAAUGAUGCCCGAGGGAAACAAAUGUAACUCUUUAUUUCGAAAGUCCAUCUGUAGAUCCGCUACAGAAUAUCUACAGACUAUCAGUAACAUUUCAACUAACUAUCUGUUAACCCUAACCCUAGCUCGAACCCUAACCUUAACCCUUAUCCUAACCCUAAACUUAACCCUUACACUAUCCCUAACCCUAGUCCUAACCUUAACCCUUCCUUAUCCUAACCCUUAUUCUAAACCUAACCCCAACCUUAUCCAAUUAAAGUGUGACCAAAAA